rnacentral:lncRNA from 1 species
UUCUGGAGUAUCUAUGACAAAGGCUUCACUUUGAGUGAGACUGUGACCACAUUAAGCACUUACAAUUGGGACUCCAAGGUAAUCUGAUCAUUAGGUACACCAUCUGGCUAUUAGAUGUACCACUAUGCAAUGAGAGUGGAAACUGUCACCACAUCCACGAAGAAGACAACUAGAGCUGCUUAUAAAGAGAAAUCCAAAGGAAAGGCAAUGACAGUGGCUUCCUUUUACAAAU